UUUCUAAGAUUAAGCCAUGCAGAGUUCUGCAACAAGAACCGAUAGCUCAGUAAAACCAGGUUAUUUGCUCUCGGCGGACGAUAACCACGUGAAAACGCGGCUAAGGACAGAGAAUAAGACCUGGCACCAUCAGCUAGUUGGCAGUGUAAAGGACUACCAAGGCGGCGACGGUUGACGGGAUACGAGAGUGUUAUGCCGGAGAGGAAGCCUGAGAGACUGCUUCCACGUUCAUGGACGGCAGCAGGCGCGAAAAUUGUCCACUCUUUGCAGGAGACAGUUAUGAGGAGUACGAGCGAUAGGCCCUGCAAAGACGGGUGCUAGAAUUGGAGGGCAAGUUUGGUGCCAGCAGCCGCGGUAAUACCAACUCCAAGAGUGUGUAUGAGAGUUGUUGUGGUUAAAAGGUCCGUAGUCGUUAAGCUAAACAAGGCGUGGCCUGGGGCGAGUUUGGAGGGGCUGGUUGGGGCCGCAGUAUACAGGGGCGAGAGAUGAAAUGCCAAGACCCCCUGUGGACUCGGCGAGGCGAAGGCGGCGGCCCGGCAAGUGCUCGAUGAUCAAGGACGAAGGGUGGAGGAUCGAAGGUGAUUAGAUACCGCUGUAGUUCCACCAGUAAAAGAUGCCGACUAUUCCGGCCCGGCGGGCCGGGAACAGGGAAACCGAUAAGUGUCUGGGCUCCGGGGAUAGUACGCUCGCAAGGGUAAAAAUUAAAGAAAUUGACGGAGCUACACCACAAGGAGUGGAUUGUGCGGCUUAAUUUGACUCAACGCGAGGAAGCUUACCAGGCCCUUGCGCGCCGGAGAGACGAGGCGCGCAGGAGUGGUGCAUGGUCGUUGGAAAUUCAUGGGAUGACUUUGAGCUUCAAUGCUUGAAUGAGUGAGACCCGGAGACGGCCUGCGCAAGCAGGAGGACGGCGGGGCAAUAACAGAUCAGUGAUGCCCUUCGAUGGCCUGGGCUGCACGCGCAAUACAAUAGGCAGCACGGCGACAAGCGGAAAGCGCCUCAGAUGGACUGCCGGCUGUAAGCCCGGCACGAAAGCGGAAUUCCUAGUAGGCGCGCGGCACCAGCGCGUGCCGAAUGC
rnacentral:rRNA from 1 species